rnacentral:rRNA from 1 species
GAUGAACGCUGGCGGCGUGCUUAACACAUGCAAGUCGAACGGGGAAGGCGGAGCUUGCUCUGCUGGAUCAGUGGCGAACGGGUGAGUAACACGUGAGCAAUCUGCCCCUGACUCUGGGAUAAGCGCUGGAAACGGCGUCUAAUACUGGAUACGAGCUGCGAAGGCAUCUUCAGCAGCUGGAAAGAAUUUCGGUCAGGGAUGAGCUCGCGGCCUAUCAGCUUGUUGGUGAGGUAAUGGCUCACCAAGGCGUCGACGGGUAGCCGGCCUGGGAGGGUGACCGGCCACACUGGGACUGAGCCACGGCCCAGACUCCUACGGGAGGCAGCAGUGGGGAAUAUUGCACAGUGGGCGAAAGCCUGAUGCAGCAACGCCGCGUGAGGGACGACGGCCUUCGGGUUGUAAACCUCUUUUAGCAGGGAAGAAGCGAAAGUGACGGUACCUGCAGAAAAAGCGCCGGCUAACUACGUG